rnacentral:tRNA from 1 species
AGUUAUGUAGUUCAGUGGUAGAACUGAAUACGGUGAUGCGUAGGAAAGGCGUGAGUUCAAUUCUCACCAUAACUG